rnacentral:rRNA from 1 species
AGUGGGGAAUAUUGGGCAAUGGGGGAAACCCUGACUCAGCGACGCCGCGUGGAGGAAGGAGCCCUUCGGGGUGUAAACUCCUGUUGUAAGGGAAGAAGACAGUGACGGUACCUUACGAGGAAGCCCCGGCAAACUACGUGCCAGCAGCCGCGGUAACACGUAGGGGGCGAGCGUUGUCCGGAAUCACUGGGCGUAAAGCGCACGCAGGCGGAUGCGCGCGUCGGCUGUGAAAUGCACCGGCUCAACCGGUGCACUGCGGUCGAUACGGCGCGUCUGGAGUGCGGGAGAGGGAAGCGGAAUUCCCGGUGUAGCGGUGAAAUGCGUAGAUAUCGGGAGGAACGCCGGUGGCGAAGGCGGCUUCCUGGCCCGCAACUGACGCUCAUGUGCGAAAGCCAGGGGAGCGAACCGGAUUAGAUACCCGGGUAGUCCUGGCCGUAAACGAUGGACGCUAGGUGUGGGCGGUUUAUCCGUCUGUGCCGAAGUUAACGCGUUAAGCGUCCCGCCUGGGGAGUACGAUCGCAAGGUUGAAACUCAAAGGAAUUGACGGGGGCCCGCACAAGCGGUGGAGCGCGUGGUUUAAUUCGAUGCAAACCGAAGAACCUUACCUGGGUUUGACAUGCAGGUGGUACGAGCCCGAAAGGGCAAGGACCGCACCUUCGGGUGCGGAGCCUGCACAGGUGCUGCAUGGCUGUCGUCAGCUCGUGUCGUGAGAUGUUGGGUUAAGUCCCGCAACGAGCGCGACCCCUGCUUCCAGUUGCCAUCAGGUCAAGCUGGGCACUCUGGAGGGACUGCCGGCGACAAGUCGGAGGAAGGCGGGGAUGACGUCAAGUCAUCAUGGCCCUUAUGUCCAGGGCGACACACGCGCUACAAUGGCCGGCACAGAGGGAGGCAAGCCCGCGAGGGUGAGCAGAUCCUGUUAAAGCCGGUCUCAGUUCGGAUCGCAGUCUGCAACCCGACUGCGUGAAGCCGGAAUCGCUAGUAAUCGCGGAUCAGCCAUGCCGCGGUGAAUACGUUCCCGGGCCUUGUACACACCGCCCGUCACACCACCCGAGUUGGGUGUUCCCGAAGCCGCUCUUCCCAACCCGCAAGGGAGGGAGGCGUCGAAGGAAUGCCUGGUGAGGGGGGUG